GUCGAACGCUGGCGGCGUGCCUAAUACAUGCAAGUCGAACGCAAGGGGGACGGGUGAGUAACACGUGGGUAACCUCCCAUCAGAGAGGAUAACACUUGGACACAGGUGCUAAACCGAUACUGAUGGAUGGACGCGGGGUGCAUUAGCUAGUUGGUGAGGUAACGGCUCACCAAGGCAACGAUGCAUAGCUGACCUGCGAGGAUGAUCGGCCACACUGGGACUGAGACACGGCCCAGACUCCUACGGGAGGCAGCAGUAGGGAAUCUUGGGCAAUGGGCGAAAGCCUGACCCAGCCACGCCGCGUGAGUGAAGAAGGUUUGCGGAUCGUAAAACUCUGUUGUUUGAGAAGCGGUACCUAACCAGGAAGCCACGGCUAACUUCGUGCCAGCAGCCGCGGUAAUUC
rnacentral:rRNA from 1 species